rnacentral:rRNA from 1 species
AGAGUUUGAUCCUGGCUCAGGAUGAACGCUGGCGGCGUGCUUAACACAUGCAAGUCGAACGAACCUUCGGGUUAGUGGCGGACGGGUGAGUAACGCGUGAGAAUCUGCCCUCAGGAGGGGGAUAACGGCUGGAAACGGCCGCUAAUACCCCAUAUGCCGAGAGGUGAAAUGAAUUUCGCCUGAGGAUGAGCUCGCGUCUGAUUAGCUAGUUGGUGGGGUAAGAGCCUACCAAGGCAUCGAUCAGUAGCUGGUCUGAGAGGAUGAUCAGCCACACUGGGACUGAGACACGGCCCAGACUCCUACGGGAGGCAGCAGUGGGGAAUUUUCCGCAAUGGGCGAAAGCCUGACGGAGCAACGCCGCGUGAGGGAUGAAGGCCUCUGGGCUGUAAACCUCUUUUAUCAAGGAAGAAGAUCUGACGGUACUUGAUGAAUAAGCCACGGCUAAUUCCGUGCCAGCAGCCGCGGUAAUACGGGAGUGGCAAGCGUUAUCCGGAAUUAUUGGGCGUAAAGCGUCCGCAGGCGGCCUGAUAAGUCUGUUGUCAAAGCGUGGAGCUUAACUCCAUUUCGGCAAUGGAAACUGUGAGGCUUGAGUGUGGUAGGGGCAGAGGGAAUUCCCGGUGUAGCGGUGAAAUGCGUAGAUAUCGGGAAGAACACCAGUGGCGAAGGCGCUCUGCUGGGCCAUAACUGACGCUCAUGGACGAAAGCCAGGGGAGCGAAAGGGAUUAGAUACCCCUGUAGUCCUGGCCGUAAACGAUGAACACUAGGUGUCGGGGGAAUCGACCCCCUCGGUGUCGUAGCCAACGCGUUAAGUGUUCCGCCUGGGGAGUACGCACGCAAGUGUGAAACUCAAAGGAAUUGACGGGGGCCCGCACAAGCGGUGGAGUAUGUGGUUUAAUUCGAUGCAACGCGAAGAACCUUACCAGGGUUUGACAUCCUGCGAAUCCCUUGGAAACUUGGGAGUGCCUUCGGGAGCGCAGAGACAGGUGGUGCAUGGCUGUCGUCAGCUCGUGUCGUGAGAUGUUGGGUUAAGUCCCGCAACGAGCGCAACCCACGUCUUUAGUUGCCAGCAUUGAGUUGGGCACUCUAGAGAGACCGCCGGUGAUAAACCGGAGGAAGGUGUGGAUGACGUCAAGUCAUCAUGCCCCUUACAUCCUGGGCUACACACGUACUACAAUGCUACGGACAAAGGGCAGCAAACUCGCGAGAGCUAGCAAAUCCCAUAAACCGUGGCUCAGUUCAGAUAGUAGGCUGCAACUCGCCUACGUGAAGGAGGAAUCGCUAGUAAUCGCAGGUCAGCAUACCGCGGUGAAUACGUUCCCGGGCCUUGUACACACCGCCCGUCACACCAUGGAAGUUGGCCACGCCCGAAGCCGUUACUCCAACCCUUGUGGAGGAGGACGUCGAAGGUGGGGCUGAUGACUG